rnacentral:rRNA from 1 species
CUCGGGCGCGCUAUCUGCAGUCGAGCGGAAGAUGGGAGCUGCUCCCUGAUGUUAGCGCGGGAGAGGGGAGUAUCACGUGGGUAACCUGCCUGUAAGACUGGGAUAACUCCGGGAAACCGGGGCUAAUACCGGAUGGUUGUUUGAACCGCAUGGGUCAAACAUUUAAGGUGGCUUCUGCUACCACUUACAGAUGGGCCCCCGGCGCAUUAGCUAGUUGGGGAGGGAACGGCUCACCAAGGCGACGAUGCGUAGCCGACCUGAGAGGGUGAUCGGCCACACUGGGACUGAGACACGGGCCAGACUCCUACGGGAGGGAGCAGUAGGGAAUCUUCCCCAAUGGACGAAAGUCUGACGGAGCAACGCCGCGUGAGUGAUGAAGGUUUUCGGAUCGUAAAGCUCUGUUGUUAGGGAAGAACAAGUACCGUUCGAAUAGGGCGGUACCUUGACGGUACCUAACCAGAAAGCCACGGCUAACUACGUGCCAGCAGCCGCGGUAAUACGUAGGUGGCAAGCGUUGUCCGGAAUUAUUGGGCGUAAAGGGCUCGCAGGCGGUUUCUUAAGUCUGAUGUGAAAGCCCCCGGCUCAACCGGGGAGGGUCAUUGGAAACUGGGGAACUUGAGUGCAGAAGAGGAGAGUGGAAUUCCACGUGUAGCGGUGAAAUGCGUAGAGAUGUGGAGGAACACCAGUGGCGAAGGCGACUCUCUGGUCUGUAACUGACGCUGAGGAGCGAAAGCGUGGGGAGCGAACAGGAUUAGAUACCCUGGUAGUCCACGCCGUAAACGAUGAGUGCUAAGUGUUAGGGGGUUUCCGCCCCUUAGUGCUGCAGCUAACGCAUUAAGCACUCCGCCUGGGGAGUACGGUCGCAAGACUGAAACUCAAAGGAAUUGACGGGGGCCCGCACAAGCGGGUGGAGCAUGUGGUUUAAUUCGAAGCAACGCGCAAGAACCUUACCAAGGUCUUGACAUCCUCUGAACCACUCCUAGAGAUAGUGACGUCCCCUUCCGGGGGCAGA